rnacentral:rRNA from 1 species
UCAAGAGAAGUAAGUGCAUCUGGUGGAUGCCUUGGCGAUGAUAGGCGAAGAAGGACGCGACAGUCUGCGAAAAGCCUCGGGGAGCUGACAAUAAGUGAUAAUCCGGGGGUAUCCGAAUGGGGCAACCUUACUGAUUUAAUCAGUAAUCCUAUACUGAAUCCAUAGGUAUAGGAAGCGAACCUAGGGAACUGAACCAUCUAAGUACCUAGAGGAAAAGAAAUCAACCGAGAUUCUGCGAGUAGUGGCGAGCGAAAGUGGAAGAGCCUGCAUAAGAUAGCGAGUAAUUUAGGAGAACGACUUGGGAAAGUCGACCAUAGGGGGUGAAAGUCCCGUAUCUGAAAAGUUACUGGUGGUACUGAUUAUGCGACAAGUAGGGCGAGACACGAGGAAUCUUGUCUGAAGAUGGGGGGACCAUCCUCCAAGGCUAAAUACUCAUCAUCGACCGAUAGUGAACAAGUACCGUGAGGGAAAGGUGAAAAGGACCCCGGGAGGGGAGUUAAAAGAACCUGAAACCGGAUGCAUACAAACAGUGGGAGCUAGGCGACUAGUGACUGCGUACCUUUUGUAUAAUGGGUCAACGACUUACAUUCAGUAGCGAGCUUAACCGAGUAGGGGAGGCGCAGGGAAACCGAGUCUUAAUAGGGCGGAUAGUUUCUGGAUGUAGACCCGAAACCGAGUGAUCUAUCCAUGUCCAGGAUGAAGGUUAGGUAACACUGACUGGAGGUCCGAACCUACUAAUGUUGCAAAAUUAGAGGAUGAGGUGUGGAUAGGGGUGAAAGGCCAAACAAACUCGGAGAUAGCUGGUUCUCCCCGAAAACUAUUUAGGUAGUGCCUUGUAGGUUUACUCACGGGGGUAAAGCACUGUUAUGGCUAGGGGGUCAUUGCGACUUACCAACCCAUGGCAAACUAAGAAUACCGUGAAGUACGACUACAGGAGACAGACAUUGGGUGCUAACGUCCGGUGUCGAGAGGGAAACAACCCAGACCGCCAGCUAAGGUCCUAAAUGAUCAGUUAAGUGGAAAACGAAGUGAGAAGGCAUAGACAGCUAGGAUGUUGGCUUAGAAGCAGCCAUCAUUUAAAGAAAGCGUAAUAGCUCACUAGUUGAGUCUUCUUGCGCGGAAGAUGUAACGGGGCUAAAACUGAUAACCGAAGCUGCGGAUGCACGCCCAUAAGGUGUGUGUGGUAGGGGAGCGUUCUGUAGGCCGAAGAAGGUUGAUUGAGAAGUCAGCUGGAGGUAUCAGAAGAGCGAAUGUUGACAUGAGUAGCGAUAAAACGAGUGAAAAGCUCGUUCGCCGAAAGCCCAAGGAUUCCUACGCGACGUUAAUCGGCGUAGGGUGAGUCGGCCCCUAAGGUGAGGCAGAGAUGCGUAGCUGAUGGGAAACGGGUUAAUAUUCCCGUACUUGAGUGUAAUGCGAUGUGGGGACGGAGAAGGUUAGGAUAGCAAUCGGUUGGAAGAGAUUGUUUAAGCCGGUAGGUAGGUCUUUUAGGCAAAUCCGGAAGACUAAUACUGAGAGGUGAUGACGAGGACUUACGGGUCUGAAGUAUCUGAUACCCAGCUUCCAGGAAAAGCCACUAAGCUUCAGUUACACUUAAACCGUACCGCAAACCGACACAGGUGGGCAGGAAGAGAAUUCUAAGGCGCUUGAGAGAACUCAGGAGAAGGAACUCGGCAAAUUGACACCGUAACUUCGGGAGAAGGUGUGCCUUUGGUAAGUGAGGGGAGAGACGCCCUGAGCUGAAGAAGGCCGCAGAGAAUAGGUGGCUGCGACUGUUUACUAAAAACACAGCACUCUGCUAACACGAAAGUGGACGUAUAGGGUGUGACGCCUGCCCGGUGCUGGAAGAUUAAAUGAUGGGGUGCAAGCUCCUGACUGAAGUCCCAGUAAACGGCGGCCGUAACUAUAACGGUCCUAAGGUAGCGAAAUUCCUUGUC